rnacentral:lncRNA from 1 species
CUUUCAUAAAGUGAGACAGGUACUGACAGAUGUUAUCUUACAUAAAAUAUGCUGAUAUAAAUGUAACCUACAAAUGUUUUUUGGGAAAAAAGAAAUCCUUGACAGAAUGAAUUUGUGUCUGAUCAGCAUUUUGCAUGAUAACCUUGAAGCUUAAAAAUGAAAACAAACCUGGAAUCCCCCCAAAACAAAACAAACCCAAACUCCUUACCUUGUUGAGUGUAUAGACUAACUUGAGCAAGGUAACUGUUUUACAGAACUUUUAACACGUGUUACAUGAACAAAGAUCUGUAAGAGAUACUGGAAGGAAGUGGCUGGAGCACUUAGACCUCCACAGAUAUAUUUAUGCUUGCCUAAAAAAAAAGAUUUAUUUAAAUGUGGGUACCUAACAAAAUCAAUAUAGGGAACUUCAUGAAGUUAUUCUCCUGUCAACUGAAUUUUAUUAGCUGUUUAUAAGUGCUAUUUUACAUCUGCCCAGUUUCAAGGUAUUUGCAUCAGCUUACAUGUCCUUCACUGGCUAUGGGAAUGCAAGUAGUUAUCAUGAGUUAUUGCAGCUUAGGCCCACGGUAACUUAUUACAUGCUCGUAAUUCAGUCCUGUGUUUGAGCCCUGACCUGGGUUACCCACGGUUACAUAAAUAAUCUGAGAUAGAGCCACGAGGAGAGGCCAGGUUUCUUGACUCCUGACAUUGUACCCUUACCAUGAGGCUAUUCUGACUCAAUUCAGUCAGGUCCUGCCUCCUGAACCGGUGUUGAAUUAUCAGACUGCAUCAGGAGAAUCAGAGACUGAGUGUUUCCUGAGGCCAGACCAAAAACAAAGAGAAAGGAAAACAAGAAUGUAUUCCUGGAGGCGAAGGAGAAUCCUUCAGCUUUGUACGUCUGGCCUUGAGGGCUCAAUGCUGCUGGUAGCAGCUGAGGUUACUCCAGCAAUGGUUGCAGUGAAUGUCAUGUUUGCAAUGGAGAUUCUUCCCUUACUUGAAGGCAGCAAAGAGGAUGUCAUUGGAUAGGAAGAAACAACAAAAGGAAUUCCCACCAACCUGCAGACUGGUCACAGAGUCUGCACAGAGUUUAAAAGCAGAGAAUUUUCACAAAUAAAAGCAGCAGC